UCGCAACUUUAGGGGUGUCUGCUCAUGCAGGCUGAGAUUUUACCCUUAGAACCUGAUCCGGAUCAUACUGGCGUAGGGAAAAGUGAGCUGUCUACA
rnacentral:ncRNA from 4 species